UACGUAGGGGGCAAGCGUUGUCCGGAUUUAUUGGGCGUAAAGAGCGUGUAGGCGGCCAUACAGGUCCGUUGUGAAAACUGGAGGCUUAACCUCCAGACGUCGAUGGAAACCGUAUGGCUAGAGUCCGGAAGAGGAGAGUGGAAUUCCUGGUGUAGCGGUGAAAUGCGCAGAUAUCGGGUGGAACACCAGUGGCGAAGGCGGUGCGCUGGGCCGGAACUGACGCUCAUGGACGAAAGCGUGGGUAGCAAACAGG
rnacentral:rRNA from 1 species